AGUUUUUGAGCUGUUAAUUUAAGUUAUUUUUUUUCUAAUCAUGCAUUCUCAUAAAAAAGUAAAUUUCUCUGUUACUACGAUACAUUAAGUGUACAUAUUAGUACCGUUUAGCUUUUGUACCUACACAGGAAAAAUGAGAGAGUACUUUUUUCGGAGUUACCAUCAGUAUUUUUUGUCGUAGGUGUAACGUAGAGGAAAUAUGUUGGAGUAAACCAGCGAGACCACGCCCACUCUGCUUUCUUAAGUUUCGUUUCUUCCGCCAUUUUGUUAUCCCGCAGCGGCCGGAGGAAGAUAGAGGCUGUGACUGAGUAAGGAAGCCAGCUACUUUUGAAACGACCAGCUCCAUAAUUCCUACUGAUAUUUAUCAGGUCCGUCGAAUUCAAUGCGUUAAUCAUUUUAAUCUGUAAUGUGUAGGAGUCCAAAAACGUUUUUUUUUACACCGCAGUAUGGCGGUCCUUCCCAUUUAUAUGUCAGCCUGCCGUAGCUGCUGUGCGCGCGCAGCCACCAUUUCUCGAAUGCAAGAUAGUGACAGACUGUUUAGGUUGUCAUGAUCGCUCAUUGUUGGUCAAGCGAAGUUUACACUGUGUUGUUGAUUUUGAACAUUCUCCUGCAGAGAUUAUUUUUUUUAAAUGGAGGUCCGUGAUUCCAGAUACUCGUCACGAUUUCCCAUACCAAAAACUCAUCUAUAAACCAGGAAAAAA